rnacentral:rRNA from 1 species
UACGGGGGGGGCAAGCGUUGUUCGGAUUUACUGGGCGUAAAGGGCGCGUAGGCGGUCAGCACAAGUCAAUUGUGAAAUCUCCGAGCUUAACUCGGAAAGGUCAACUGAAACUGUGCGACUAGAGUGCGGAAGGGGCAACUGGAAUUCUCGGUGUAGCGGUGAAAUGCGUAGAUAUCGAGAGGAACACCUGCGGCGAAGGCGGGUUGCUGGGCCGACACUGACGCUGAUGCGCGAAAGCCAGGGGAGCGAACGGG